rnacentral:rRNA from 1 species
CUGGGAUGGGGGCGCCUCGGGACUGAGGGUAAUACCCCAUAGGAGAUUGAGGCUGGAAUGCGCUUUCUCUAAAAGCUUCGGCGCCUAUGGAUGAGACUGCGGCCGAUUAGGCUGUUGGUGAGGUAACGGCCCACCAAACCAAUGAUCGGUAGGGGCCUUGAGAGGGGUAGCCCCGAAAAGGACACUGAGAUAAGGGUCCUAGCCCUACGGGGUGCAGCAGGCGGGAAAACUUUACAAUGUACGAAAGUGCGAUAAGGGAACCCAAAGUGCCUACGCCUUGAGUGUAGGCUUUUUGCAAGAGUAAAAAUCUUGUAGAAUAAGUGAUGGGUAAGACGGGUGCCAGCCGCCGCGGUAAUCCCCGCGUCACGAGUGGCAAUCACAUUUAUUGGGCCUAAAGCGUCCGUAGCCGGUCUGGCAAGUUCCUUGUGAAAUCGUAAGGCUCAACUUUACGGCGUGCAAGGAAUACUACUAGACUUGGAACUGGGAGGGGUGGGAGGUAUUCCCGGGUUAGCGGUAAAAUGUUAUAACCCCGGGAGGACCACCGAUGGCGAAGGCAUCCCACUAGAACAGGUUCGACGGUGAGGGACGAGAGCUGGGGGAUCAAUCCGGAUUAGAUACCCGAGUAGUCCCAGCUGUAAACCCUGCGUGUUAGGCGUUGCCAAAACUUCGUGUUUUGGCAGUGUCGUAGUGAAGGCGUUAAACACGCCGCCUGGGGAGUACGGUCGCAAGGCUGAAACUUGAAGGAAUUGGCGGGGGAGCAC